rnacentral:rRNA from 1 species
GACGAACGCUGGCGGCGUGCUUAACACAUGCAAGUCGAACGGAAAGGCCCUGCUUUUGUGGGGUGCUCGAGUGGCGAACGGGUGAGUAACACGUGAGUAACCUGCCCUUGACUUUGGGAUAACUUCAGGAAACUGGGGCUAAUACCGGAUAGGAGCUCCUGCUGCAUGGUGGUGGUUGGAAAGUUUCGGCGGUUGGGGAUGGACUCGCGGCUUAUCAGCUUGUUGGUGGGGUAGUGGCUUACCAAGGCUUUGACGGGUAGCCGGCCUGAGAGGGUGACCGGCCACAAUGGGACUGAGAUACGGCCCAGACUGCUACGGGAGGCAGCAGGGGGGAAUAUUGCACAAUGGGCGGAAGCCUGAUGCAGCAACGCCGCGUGCGGGAUGACGGCCUUCGGGUUGUAAACCGCUUUCGCCUGUGACGAAGCGUGAGUGACGGUAAUGGGUAAAGAAGCACCGGCUAACUACGUG